UAAGACGGAGGGUGCAAGCGUUGUUCGGAUUGACUGGGCGUAAAGGGCGUGUAGGCGGUUUGUCAAGUCGGGUGUGAAAGCCUGGGGCUCAGCCCCAGAAGUGCAUCCGAAACUAGCGAGCUAGAGCGCGAUAGAGGAGGGUGGAAUUCCUGGUGUAGCGGUGAAAUGCGUAGAUAUCAGGAGGAACACCGGCGGCGAAGGCGGCCCUCUGGAUCGUUGCUGACGCUGAGACGCGAAAGCGUGGGGAGCAAACAGGAUUAGAU
rnacentral:rRNA from 1 species